rnacentral:rRNA from 1 species
UACGGAGGGUGCAAGCGUUAUCCGGAUUUACUGGGUUUAAAGGGUGCGUAGGUGGAUUUGUAAGUCAGUGGUGAAAUCUCCGAGCUUAACUCGGAAACUGCCAUUGAUACUAUAAGUCUUGAAUUAUAUGGAGGUGAGCGGAAUAUGUCAUGUAGCGGUGAAAUGCUUAGAUAUGACAUAGAACACCAAUUGCGAAGGCAGCUCACUACGUAUAUAUUGACACUGAGGCACGAAAGCGUGGGGAUCAAACAGG